rnacentral:rRNA from 1 species
UACAGAGGGUGCGAGCGUUAAUCGGAAUUACUGGGCGUAAAGCGUGCGUAGACGGUCAUGUAAGUCGGAUGUGAAAGCCCCGGGCUCAACCUGGGAAUUGCAUUUGAGACUGCAUAGCUAGGGUGCGGAAGAGGGAAGCGGAAUUUCCGGUGUAGCGGUGAAAUGCGUAGAUAUCGGAAGGAACACCAGUGGCGAAAGCGGCUUCCUGGUCCAGCACCGACGUUCAGGCACGAAAGCGUGGGGAGCAAACAGG